CAAUGCCCAAGCCUGGUCGGUUGGUCCUUGCCCAAACCUUCACACACCAGCCUGCCAGUCCUUGGCCACUGGCAGUGACUCCAGUGAUGGUCCCCGCACUCACCUUGUUCUCUUGUCAUCCAUUCUGGGCCGCAGACCCUAGCAGGAGGCCAACAGGGUUUCUUUAGGCCUUCCCAAGAGGCUGAAGGGUGAGGAGUCUUCAAUCAGGGGAGCAGUGCUGGGUCCUACCAAGGCUGAGAUCGGCUGCCAGAGACUCAAGGACAAGGCAGGUGGAGCUGUCUGAGAACCUGCGCUUUGCACAAGAUCCCAGGAGAACCACGGUUAUUGACAAAGAAUAAUUGAGGGCCUCAUCCUGCUAGGCACAGACAGGCCAUCUCCUUGGUGACUG